ACGUUGUAUGAAAGUAGGGAAGGUUAUCUAUUGUUUCCCUUGACAAGGAGGGAAGAGGCUUCUGCCUGAAACACACAUGCGGUUUUUAGCCUAUAGUUUCAUUUAUUUUUUUGAAGAUUUAUUUUA